UGGGGAAUAUUGCACAAUGGAGGGAACUCUGAUGCAGCGACGCCGCGUGAACGAAGAAGGCUUUCGAGUCGUAAAGUUCUUUUAUAUGGGAAGAUAAUGACGGUACCAUAGGAGGAAGCCCCGGCUAACUACGUGCCAGCAGCCGCGGUAAUACGUAGGGGGCGAGCGUUGUCCGGAAUCACUGGGCGUAAAGGGUUCGCAGGCGGUUUACCAAGUCCGAUGUGAAAGGCAUGGGCUCAACCCAUGUAAGCAUUGGAAACUGGUAGACUUGAGUUAAGGAGAGGUAAGUGGAAUUCCUAGUGUAGCGGUGAAAUGCGUAGAUAUUAGGAAGAAUACCGGUGGCGAAGGCGACUUACUGGACUUAAACUGACGCUGAGGAACGAAAGCGUGGGGAGCAAACAGG
rnacentral:rRNA from 1 species